UACGGGGGGGGGCAAGCGUUGUUCGGAAUUACUGGGCGUAAAGGGCUCGUAGGUGGCCAACUAAGUCAGACGUGAAAUCCCUCGGCUUAACCGGGGAACUGCGUCUGAUACUGGAUGGCUUGAGUUUGGGAGAGGGACGCGGAAUUCCAGGUGUAGCGGUGAAAUGCGUAGAUAUCAGGAGGAACACCAGCGGCGAAGGCGGCGCUCUGGGCCGGAACUGACGCUGAGGAGCGAAAGCGUGGGUAGCAAACAGG
rnacentral:rRNA from 1 species